AUGUGGAUUCUCCAGGGGACUGGCGUUUUCCUGGCCCGUGUCACCUUCUGCUUUCUCCUGCUGACUGGGGCUUUUGAACAAGUGUUUCUUCUGGUGCAUUCCCAGGGCAGCAGCUGUUUUGCAAAUUUUGGGGCAUUGGAAACAGGCAUAGCCCUUCCCGUUGUGCUCCCUGAUAUGCCUCUGCUCGUGAUUCCUUUUCGUGGACAGAUACAGAAAACUCUGAAAGCAGAACUGACAGUGGUACCGUUUUUCUCCUGUGUGGAUCCUUUCGUGGAUUUUGAGGGUCUCGUUCAAUGUGAAGGCCUUGUUGCAGUACUGACAGACGAACUCCUUCACGCCCAGGUGGAUGCGCUCAUGCUUCUGGAGGUUGCCGUGCACGGAGAAGCACCGGCCACAGGUCUUGCACUGGUAUGGCUUCUCUCCCGUGUGGCACCGCAUGUGCAUUUUGAGAGUGGAGGGGCUCUGAAACUGCUUGGCGCAGAGCUCGCAUGCGUAAGGCCGGGCCGUGAGAUGCCGGUGGGGCCUCCCUUGGCUCCCGGCCCCCGAGGCUUUGUCUCCGUCGUCGCAGAGUUCACACUGCAGCUUAGGCAUCUCUUUGUUUUCCUCUUCCUCGAAGGCCUUCUCCUGCGGAGCCCUGCCCACUGCACAGUCCAGGUCGGCCGGGUAUCUGCACUUAGCGCUCGGGCUCCUGUUUUCAUGCUCCUUCCUCCAGCUGGCCUUCCUCAUUUUUCUCAACUGUCUGGAUUUCUUCUUGGGUUUGUAGUUGUAGUAUGGGCGCCACGGUUUGUCCGUGGAAUCCUGGUCACUGGCAUCGUCAAACAUCUCGUUCAUCUCCACGCACUCGGACUGGCAGAGCCCGAGAGGGUUGUCUCCGUUGGCUUCCUGGUCACUCUCCUGGGGCAGUGUCUCCUCCUGCGUUUCGUACUUGGGUCUCCGCCCUCUCUUAUAGAACAGUUUAGAGCCGAGGAUGUGCCUCUUCACAAUGGCUUCAUUCCCGAUUUUCACCGUAAUUUGACAAAGGGGCGCGACGUUGCUGUUUGUGGAGGUUCCCGGGAGAGCGGGCUUUGCGAUGUAGGUUUCAAUUUUACUCGUUUCUUUAAUGGUAUUUGUAGGUUUGCCCAGUGA
rnacentral:lncRNA from 1 species